AAAAAACAGUUCUUGACAAAACCCCGCUUGUUAUUGAGCUAAAAUUAUCAUCUUUAGAGGCAAAAACAGCAACUUUUUUGGAGGAAAAAUGUGUUCUUGACAAAACCCCACUUGCUACUGGACUUGAAUUGUCAUCUUUAUCAGCAAAAACAGUUACUUUUUUGUAGGAAAAAUGAGUUUUUGACAGAAACCCACUAGUUAUUGAGGCUGAAUUAUCAUUUUUAUCAGCAAAAACAAGAACUUUUCUGGGUAAACAAAGGGAUUUUGAGAUUCUUGAAUGGUGUAAAGAUGAAAUUGACAACAAGGGGUUG
rnacentral:misc_RNA from 1 species